GAUGAACGCUGGCGGCGUGCCUAAUACAUGCAAGUCGAGCGAACAGACGAGGAGCUUGCUCCUCUGACGUUAGCGGCGGACGGGUGAGUAACACGUGGAUACCCUACCUAUAAGACUGGGAUCACUUCGGGAAACCGGAGCUAAUACCGGAUAAUAUAUUGAACCGCAUGGUUCAAUAGUGAACGACGGUUUUGCUGUCACUUCUAGAUGGAUCCGCGCCGCAUUAGCUAGUUGGUAAGGUAACGGCUUACCAAGGCAACGAUGCGUAGCCGACCUGAGAGGGUGGUCGGCCACACUGGAACUGAGACACGGUCCAGACUCCUACGGGAGGCACCAGUAGGGAAUCUUCCGCAACGGGCGAAAGCUUGACGGAGCAACGCCGCGUGAGUGAUGAAGGUCUUCGGAUCGUAAAACUCGGUUAUUAGGGAAGAACAAAUGUGUAAGUAAAUAUGCACGUCUUGACGGUACCGAAUCAGAAAGCCACGGCUAACUACGUG
rnacentral:rRNA from 1 species